rnacentral:rRNA from 1 species
UAGCGAAGGUGGCAAGCGUUGUUUGGAUUUACUGGGCGUACAGGGAGCGUAGGCGGUUGGGUAAGCCCUCCGAUGAAAUCUCCGGGCCUAACCCGGAAAGUGCGGAGGGGACGUGCUCGGCUAGAGGAUGGGAGAGGGAGCGCGGAAUUCCGGUGUAGCGGUGAAAUGCGUAGAUAGUCAGGAGGAACACCGGUGGCGAAGGCGCACUCUGGCCCGAUAC